rnacentral:tRNA from 1 species
UUCAAUCUGGCAGAAAUAGAAAAUGUGAUGAAUUUAGGCUUCAUAGUUGGGUAUAUUCCGGUUGAAA